GGUUUUUCACUUUCUUUUUUACUCCCAAGUUAAAAAGACAAGAUAGAGAGUUUAUGAAAGAGGGGAAAGCAGAAAUAGAAAUUAUAAGGUUGGAUCGAACAUAAGAAUAUGUGUCCAGGAAUUGAUUGCAGUUGCAGACCUUUGGCCUUUUUAUUAGGCCUCCCUUUUGCUCUCAUUUCCUUGCUUAUCACCGUAGUCGGCGUCUUCCUCUGGAUUAUCGGGUUUUUUAUUAUCUCUUUUUCUCUUCAAUUUUAAUUUCAUGUAAUUGUAUUUUAUGAAUUAUUUUUUGGCUCUAUAUAUAUAUAUAUAUAUA
rnacentral:lncRNA from 1 species